rnacentral:lncRNA from 1 species
UGUUAUUUGCUAAGGAUGCUAAAAUGCUGUUUCAUUUUACAGGAACGUUGGAAGAACUCCAGAUUCUGUUAAAUUAUGGGACAUUGGUUGUCUCAGUCGUCAAUCGCUCCAGAAAGUAGCUGUGCCUAUGGUCCUUAAAAGAAAGCAUGAAAACGCCAUUUUUCCAUUGGGAACGGAGACAGUGUGCUGUUGCUGAAGAAAGGAUUUAUGACAAUGAACUGUAACAAAUUGGAAGGAAUUGGUGCUACUGAAACAACCGUUGCUUUUGAUGUUUUUAUGUUGCAAAAUUAUGCAGUUAGUUUUGGCCCUGAGAAUGGGAGGCAAAUGGAAAUUAAUUUGGAUGGAAGCCACUUGAACAACUAAUUGUCUGCAGUGAUAUCCCUCCUAUGUUUGUUUUGCUCUGCUCAUGAUUCUGGUAGACUUUGGAACGCUACUUUCUACAGGUGGUCGAGAUUGUUCAACAAAUGAGAGGGAGUUGAAAUUCAUUUUGGUCGUACUGAAACAACCAUUGUCUACAUGGGUGUGGUCUUUGGUGAACUACAUUUUUGAUUUGCUGUUUUCGUCUUCGGUUUGCAUCAUUAUGCAGUUAGUUUUGAACUGAUGAGUGAGAACAAGUGGAUAUUUAUUUGAAUUCCACUGAAAUAAGAAACUUUCUGCAUUGCCAUUAUUCCUGGAUUUUGUUUUCUUUUCACCCUUGCAAACUUUGGAACAUUACAGUCUACAGUUAAUUAAGAUUGUUCAACAAAUGAGAGGGAGUUGAAAUUCAUUUUGGUCGUACUGAAACAACCAUUGUCUACAUGGGUGUGGUCUUUGGUGAACUACAUUUUUGAUUUGCUGUUUUCGUCUUCGCUUUGCAUCAUUAUGCAGUUAGUUUUGAACUGAUGAGUGAGAACAAGUGGAUAUUUAUUUGAUUUCCACUGGAAUAAGGAAUUUUCUGCAUUGGCAUUAUUCCUGGAUUUUGUUUGCUUUUCA